GCCGCGGCCCUCGCCCCUCACGGGGUGCUGCCCUAGGCUCCCCAGGAGCCCCGCGCUGGCGUCUGCGUCACAAAGCCCCGCCACCGUCGCCGGCAGUGACGCGAGGCGCCGCGCCGGCGCCCAUGACGCCUCGAACGGCCCGCCGUCGUCGUCAAGAGUUACGCGUCUGGCGCCUCGUCCGGCGCGACGGUGGCGGGCGUCGGUGGUGCGCGCGGGGUUCUGGCUCCUGCCGCCGGAGCCGUUGCGCACCCCCGGGACCCGCUCUUCGCGCAGCCCCAGUCAGGCCGCAGGGCUCCCUGUCGCUUCUCUCGCGGGCUCCCGCCCCGCUUUAGUGCGAGACCCCCACGCCUCUUCUGGAGCAGCCUUCUACCGCCUCGCGUCCCGGGCCCGCGCAGACCUCGGCGCGUCGCUCUCCUCGGAACCCUGCGAAGCUUCGCACUUGACGUUACGGAAGCAUUUGGGGAGCGGCCUCGCGAAGGCCCUCCCACGGGGGUCGAUUGGAAGCCCUGCGGGCUUGGGAGGGAGGGCCGGGGUACGCCGGGCGGGUGAACCCGCUGCGUUAUUCGCCGACCACGUCCAGCCGCCUGGAGCGGGGCUCAGGGCGGGCAGUGGGUCGGUCUUUUCUAGGGGAGCGAGGCAAAGCGGGGGCAAGGGGAGGGCGAAGCUCCUCCAUGGGGUGAGAUGUACCGGGCAAGACGAGGGACCGGGACACGAAGCGCGGCGGCGGUGGAGGGGCCCUGCGUUGACCUGGAGAUCCCACCGGAGCGGCUAGAGCGGGUGCUCGGAGCUGCCGACGCGGGGUGGCGGCUUUUUGAAUCGGGUAUGCCAAGAGGCUAGGUGUGACCAAGGCCCCGUGGCAGAGAGGCUUCCUGUUGGAGAGGAGUGGACAUGUAGUUUCUUUUCCCUUCACGAGUACAAGAGCUGUGUACGUGUUGAAGACCAAGCUCCUCAGUGGCGCCCCCAGUGUGCUCAGAACGUACUAACCAGGAUUCAAAGACCUUGUGGUCUGACAGUACCCGCCUCUCCUACCUCCUUCCUGCUCCCUGUUUAGGACUUGAUGGCCCAACAACUAAACAAACAAAACCAAACCUGCUUGUCUCGGGCCUUUUUUACCUCUGCACAUACCACCCCCCAAAAUGUCUUAGUCCAUGGAGUGAGAUUCAGCUAGCCGUGUUCUUCCCAGGGGUGAGCACGCUGGGAAUCGUGUGCAGCAGGCGGAAGCCGUCAGGCGUCUGUGCACACUGCACCGUGACGAAUCUCAGAUGUGGAGUCGAGUAAAGAAUAAAGAUCCACAAUACAACUUUGAGGACAAAGGGAGACAAAGCGCAGAUCUCUGAUUCGGUGAGGCCACGGGCUGAACAGCGUGAAAACAGCCGGGAAGUCAGGAAAGCCGUCUCAGCCCCCCCACCCCCCGCAGCGAGGGGCCUAGGGAAGCCAGUCUCGGAGCUACACGACCAACAGAA